AAAAAAAAAAUUCAUUCAUUUCUAUUGUUAAAAACUGACAAAAUAACAAAUAUUGACAUGUGGCAUGUCAUUUGUACCUCAUGUUGAUGUACAAGGACCAACUUUUAACAGUAAAAAUGAAUAAAUUUUUUAAUA
rfam:Gossypium raimondii Chr11_contig_117, whole genome shotgun sequence.